AUUGAACGCUGGCGGCAUGCCUUACACAUGCAAGUCGAACGGUAACAGGUCUUCGGAUGCUGACGAGUGGCGAACGGGUGAGUAAUACAUCGGAACGUGCCUAGUAGUGGGGGAUAACUACUCGAAAGAGUGGCUAAUACCGCAUUAGAUCUACGGAUGAAAGAAGGGGAACGCAAGACCUUGUGCUACUAGAGCGGCCGAUGGCAGAUUAGGUAGUUGGUGGGAUAAAAGCUUACCAAGCCGACGAUCUGUAGCUGGUCUGAGAGGACGAUCAGCCACACUGGGACUGAGACACGGCCCAGACUCCUACGGGAGGCAGCAGUGGGGAAUUUUGGACAAUGGGCGCAAGCCUGAUCCAGCAAUGCCGCGUGCAGGAUGAAGGCCUUCGGGUUGUAAACUGCUUUUGUACGGAACGAAAAGCCCCGGGUUAAUACCCUGGGGUCAUGACGGUACCGUAAGAAUAAGCACCGGCUAACUACGUGCCAGCCGCCGCGGUAA
rnacentral:rRNA from 1 species